UGUGGGCGUAUGAUGAAUCUAUCCUUUUAAAUGGGUAAUUUGCGUUUGAAAUUUUCAUUGAUGUUUUAUCACUUUGGAGAACUGAUGCCCACG